rnacentral:rRNA from 1 species
CCUACGGGAGGCAGCAGUGAGGAAUAUUGGUCAAUGGACGAGAGUCUGAACCAGACAAGUAGCGUGAAGGAUGACUGCCCUAUGGGUUGUAAACUUCUUUUAUAUGGGAAUAAAAUGAUCCACGUGUGGCUUUUUGUAUGUACCAUAUGAAUAAGGAUCGGCUAACUCCGUGCCAGCAGCCGCGGUAAUACGGAGGAUCCGAGCGUUAUCCGGAUUUAUUGGGUUUAAAGGGAGCGUAGGUGGGUUGUUAAGUCAGUUGUGAAAGUUUGCGGCUCAACCGGAAAAUUGCAAUUGAUACUGGCAGGCUUGAGAACAGUAGAGGUAGGCGGAAUUCGUGGUGUAGCGGUGAAAUGCUUAGAUAUCACGAAGAACUCCGAUUGCGAAGGCAGUUUACUAAACUGCCACUGACACUGAGGCUCGAAAGUGUGGGUAUCAAACAGGAUUAGAUACCCGAGUAGUC